rnacentral:lncRNA from 1 species
UCAUAUGCUGUCCAGGCUCAGCUAGACAUAGAUUUCAGCAGAUCAUUGCACACCCAAUAUAUCAUUUAGACAAGCCUCCUUAACAAUCUGUUUCUCCUCCAAUCAAUAUGCAGAUCAUUGAGCAUUAGCAUUUUAUCUUUCAGCAGAAAACUGAAUCUUUUUCCCCUCCUCCAUCCCAUGCAGAACAUUGAAUAUUAUUACAUUAUGCUGUCCCAGCUCAGCUACAUAUAGAGUUUCAUUGAAUUUUGCCAAUCUCUGUAACACCAUCAUUAGACAAAGGCCUCCUUAACAAUCCGUUUCUCCUCUAGUCAAUAUGCAGAUCAUUGAACAUUAGCAUUUUAUCUUUCAGCAGAUAAUUGAAUUUUUUUCCCUCCUCCAUCCCAUGCAGAACAUUGAAUAUUAUUACAUCAUGCUGUCCCAGCUCAGCUACAUAUAGAGUUUAAGUUCUUAUACUUAGGCAGAAAAUUAGAUUUUGCCAAUCUCUGUAACACCAUCAUUAGACAACUCUCCUUAAAAAGACAUUUCUCCUCCAAUCAAUCAAUAAGCAGAUUAUAUCUUAUGCUGUCCCAGCUCAGCUUUUAGCAGAUCAUUGAACAUUGAAAUAUAUUUCUCUUCUAAUCAAUAUGCAGAUCAUUGAACAUUAUCAUUCUUAUCUUUAAGCAGAUUAUUGAAUCCAUUUCUCCAUUCAUUAGACAAAGCCUUAAUAAAGGACUAUUCAUUUUUUUCCUCCAACAAAAUAUGCAGAACAUUGAAUACCAUAUGCUGUCCCAGCUCAGCUAGAUAUAGAAUUCUCAGCAGACAACUUGAAUUACCUUAAACACAAGUCUUAGAGGCAUAUGUAUGCAAGAUAUAUAAUGAAGUUUUAUCUGAACAUGCUUACCAAGUUUGAUCCAAGAUAUUGAAUUCAUAAUCUUGGAUACAUAUUUGACAAGUCUUACUUGAUUUAGACACCACUUCAAGAUAUAUCUUUGUCUGCUUGUGUUAGGCAACAUUGUAAACGAUACGGGAC